rnacentral:tRNA from 1 species
UGUGGUGUAAUGGCAGCACUUCAGACUCUGACUCUGACAACGUAGGUUCGAUUCCUGCCA